rnacentral:rRNA from 1 species
CCUACGGGAGGCUGCAGUGGGGAAUAUUGGGCAAUGGGCGCAAGCCUGACCCAGCAACGCCGCGUGAAGGAAGAAGGCCCUCGGGUUGUAAACUUCUUUUAUUCGGGACGAAACAAAUGACGGUACCGAAUGAAUAAGCCACGGCUAACUACGUGCCAGCAGCCGCGGUAAUACGGAGGAUGCGAGCGUUAUCCGGAUUUAUUGGGUUUAAAGGGUGCGUAGGCGGUCCGGAAAGUCAGCGGUAAAAGCCCGGGGCUCAACCCCGGCGAGCCGUUGAAACUGUCGGACUAGAGACGGCGAGAAGUACGCGGAAUGCGCGGUGUAGCGGUGAAAUGCAUAGAUAUCGCGCAGAACUCCGAUUGCGAAGGCAGCGUACCGGCGCCGGACUGACGCUGAGGCACGAAAGCGUGGGUAUCGAACAGGAUUAGAUACCCUAGUAGUC